rnacentral:rRNA from 1 species
UUACGACUACAUAUCAGGCAUAUCAAUAAGCGGAGGAAAAGAAACUAACAAGGAUUCCCUUAGUAACGGCGAGUGAAGCGGGAAGAGCUCAAAUUUGAAAUCUUCAAGGUUUUACCUUGACGAAUUGUAGUUUAAAGAAGUGUUUUCUGUUAGGAGUUAGGUAAAAGUGCUUUGGAAUAGGACAUCAUAGAGGGUGAGAAUCCCGUAUUUGACUAUUCUUUCUAGCUUUGUGAUACACUUUCAAAGAGUCGGAUUGUUUGGGAAUGCAGUCCAAAAUGGGUGGUAAAUUUCAUCUAAAGCUAAAUAUUGGCGAGAGACUGAUAGCGAACAAGUACCGUGAGGGAAAGAUGAAAAGAACUUUGAAAAGAGAGUUAAACAGUACGUGAAAUUGUCAAAAGGGAAGCGUUUGACACCAGUGUUGUUUCUACGAAAAUCAAUUAAAAAAAGUUGGAUUUUGCGUUGUAUUGACCUUAACAGCUUGCUUCACUCUUUUCCAGCUUUUUUUAAUGCACUUUUCGUUUAACAAGUCAACAUCAGUUUCUUUUGUUGUAAAAGGGUCAUUGGAAGGUGGCUUUCUCUUCGGAGAAAGUGUUUAUAGCCUUUGAUCUCUGCAAUCGGAGAGACUGAGGUCUGCAGCGUAGAUCCUUCGGGGUUAGAUACAUUUGUGCUAAGUUAUAGCCUUUCAUAGACAACUUGUUGACUAUGAUCAGUCAUGUAGCUUACUCGCUUAUGCUAUUUUACCUACGCUUAGGAUGUUGAGCGCAUGUCUCUCUCU